AAAAUAAAAUAAAAUUCAGCCCCAAAUGCCAGAAGCUGGUCAAGCACCCUGCACAUAUUAAAAUUCAAGCUAAAACCUGAUGCUAUCCCUCUUGCCAGAGACAACAGUGCACCCAGGACUCCAGAAAGCUUCCCUCCAAGAAAGACACAGAAACUCCAGGAUGUGUGGUCCUCAGAGCUCAUCACAUCCUCUGGCAGGGCCUGAGACUCUGGGAGUGAUUUGCACCCGUUCCUAGAAGGGAAAACCAAGGCACGACCAUGCAAGGGACUUGUCACGUCAGCCGGAGAGGAAGGGAGCUCUGAGCUCUGACUCUCAGGUUUAUGCCUAAAUGACAUUUCAUAUUUGCAGCAUCUGUCCAUGACUUGCAAAUUCCAGAAUGCGAUAGUCUGGGGCUGUCGCCAAUGAGGAAAAAUCACCCAUUUUGAAAGUCUAGCUGGAAGUUGCAUCAGGGAAAGGUACAAGGAGAAGCAAGUCAAGCAAGCCAGCCUACAUGAAUCCACAUCACAGUCGCUCUAAACUCUCAGCACCAGGCACGUUGUCUUAGCUCAGUGGUUGUUCUCCUUCCCCCUGUUCUAGAAGUCAUAAUUUAAUAUCAGCCCAGGCUUUCUGACCUGAGAAGUCAUCCUGAGGGUGAGGAGGGGUGGCAGGACAAUGCUGGGAAGACAUAACAUCAUGCCAACAUCUCAACGAGAAUGCAUGAGUGUCAACUCUAGCCAGCCUCUGCUCACCUCGCAUGCAGCCUCCCACAACCACCAGCAAGUUCCUGCAUCUUCCUCUCAGAGCCUGCAGCUUUCUUACUUUGGCUAUUUAAAAACAAAACAGGGCAGGGCAUGGUGACUCACGCCUCUAAUCCCAGCACUUUGGGAGGCUGAGGUGAGCAGAUCACUUGAGGUCAGGAGUUCAAGACCAGCCUGGCCAACAUGGUGAGACCCUAUCUCUACUAAACACACACAAACACACACACACACACACACACACACACACACACACACACUAGCUGGGUAUGGUGGUGCAUGCCUGUAAUCCCAGCGACUCAGGAGGCUGAGGCAAGAGAAUCACUUGAAUCUGGGAGGUGGGGGUUGCAGUGAGCCGAGAUUGCGCCACUACACUCCAGCUGAGGUGACAGAGCAAGACUCUAUCUCAAAAAUAAAUAAAUAAAUAGGUGGGGCACGGUGGCUCAUGCCUGUGAACCCAGCACUUUGGGAGGCCAAGGUGGGCAGAUUAUUUGAGCUCAGGAGUUCGAGACCAGCCUGACUAACAUGGUGAAACCUCGUCUCUACUAAAAAUACAAAAAAAAAUUAGCCAGACAUCUGUAAUCCCAGCUACUUGGGAGGCUGAGGCAGGAAAAUCGCUUGAACCCAGGAGGCGGAGUUUGCAGUGAGCAAAGAUUGCACCACUGCACUCCAGCCUGGGCGAAAGACUGAGACUCCGUUUCAAAAAAAUAUAAAUAAAUAAAUAAUAAAAACAAAACAGGCUGGGUGUGGUGGCUCACAUCUAUAAUCCUCGUGCUUUGAGAAACUGAAGCAGGAGGAUAGCUUGAGGCCAGGAGUCCAAGACCAGCCUAGGCAACAGAAUGAGACCUCAUUUCUAAAAAAAAAAAGUUAAAAAAUUAGCUGGGCACCAGCGAUCCCAUUACUGGGUAUAUACCCAAAGGAUUAUAAAUCAUGCUACUAUAAAGACACUUGCACAUGUAUGUUUACUGCAGCACUAUUCACAAUAGCAAAGACUUGGAACCAACCCAAAUGUCCUUCAAUGAUAGACUGGAUUAAGAAAAUGUGGCACAUAUACCCUAGAACUUAAAGUAUAAUUAAAAAAAAGAAAGAAAAGGUGGCACAUAUACACCAUGGAAUACUGUGCAGCCGUAAAAAAGGAUGAGUUCAUGUCCUUUGCAGGGACAUGGAUGAAGCUGGAAACCAUCAUUCUGAGCAAACUAUCACAAGGACAGAAAACCAAACACCGCAUGUUCUCACGCGUAGGUGGGAAUUGAACAAUGAGAACAGUUGGACACAGGGAGGGGAACAUCACACACCGGGGCCUGUCGUGGGGUGGGGGGAGGGGGGAGGGAUAGCACUGGGAGAAAUACCUAAUGUAAAUGAUGGGUUGAUGGGUGCAGCGGGCCAGCAUGGCACAUGUAUACCUAUGUAACGGGCCUGCACAUUGUGCACACGUACCCUAGAACUUAAAGUAUAAUAACAAAAAAAAAAAUUAGCUGGGCACGGUGGCACCUGCCCAUAGUCCUAGCUCCCAGGAGGCUGAGGUGGGAGAAUCACUUGAGCCCAGGAGUUUGAGGCUGCAGUGAACUAGGAUUGUGCCACUGUACUCCAGCCUGGGUGACAGAGCGAGAUCUUCUAAGAAACAAAACAAAACAAAACAGUGGCCUCGGCCGGGUGCGGUGGCUCACGCCUGUAAUCCUAGCACUUUGGGAGGCCGAGGCGGGUGGAUCACGAGGCCAGGAGAUCGAGACCAUCCCUGCUACCACGGUGAAACCCCGUCUCUACUAAAAAUACAAAAAUUUAGCUGGGCAUGGUGGCGGGCACCUGUAGUCCCAGCUACUCAGGAGGCUGAGGCAGGAGAAUGGCAUGAACCCGGGAGGCGGAGCUUGCAGUGAGCUGAGAUCACGACACUGCACCCCAGCCUGGGCGACAGAGCAAGACUCCGUCUCAAAAAAAACAAAACAAACAAACAAAAAAACAACAACAGUGGCCUCCCAGAUACAGACCCAUGUCCCAACUGCCAGCUUGACACCUUCCUCAGCACCUGAGACCAAACACAUCCAAGAUGCCCUCAACUCUUCCUCUUUUCAUCGAGUCAUUGAGGGAUGCUCCUGCCUCUAGCUUUGCAGACCUUCGUGACCCUCUCUCUUCUUCACUCAUGCGCCCAUUAAGCCCUAGCCAGACCUUCUUUGCCCUUCUAUCAGCUUGCCAUUCCCACUCCCAAUUCCCAGUCAGCUGUGCAAGGAGAAUCAUGGGAACAUAAGAAGGGCGUGAUAAUGUCGUCAUCUCACCUAGGCCUGUGCUGUCUCCUCGCCUCUGGUUUCUUCUCCCAUCCGUUCAUCCUCUUUGACCACAGUGCAUUCAAGGGUCUCGCUCAGAUCUUCCUGGUGGUGCCUCCGCGUUAGGCCCAUACCCUGCCAUUCUCUGUCCCUUCUUUCUAUCUAUCAGAAUCCUGCCAAUCCUCAGGGAAAAUGUUAUUCAUCCAUUCAAAAAUAUUUGUCCAGUGCCACCAUGUCCCAAGUGCUGUGUGAGACCCUAAAAGGACAGAUAGGCAUGGUCCUCGCUGUCAUGUGGUCCCUAAUCUAGAGGAGGAGAGGCAGCACCAGCAUCUCUGUGAAGCCCCCUCCCCUGCCCCCAAAUAGGACGUCCACACGUUUGAUUUCUUCUUUAUUCCUCCAGCACUGGCAUUCUGGUGACUCAUUGAGUUCUUGGCUUAUACUGACUAUCUUGCACUAGGGUUUACUUUUCCACAUCCUUUUGCCACUCAAUUGGACUGUGAAUCCCCUAAGGGCAAAACUGUGCCUUAUUCAUUUUUGUAUUACCCACACAGUAAGAAAUUAUUACUGGUUCCUUCCAACCAUGUUUGAGGACCCACUAUAGCCAGACACAGAGUGGGUCCCCAAACAUAUUUGGAAGGAACCAGUAAUGAUUUUUUCAAAAUCCAACAACAGGAGUUUAGCUUAGCUAGACAUGCUGAGUGCCCAAGUCCAACAUUUUAAUAAAGACUCUUUUUAUUCUUUGUUUAAUGCAAAAUAAAGUUAUGCAGUCCUCAUCUCUCUUCCUAACAUAAGCACGACUUGUGUGACUUAUGGAUAGACAGGAGAACAUCUGUGCUUUGUCCAGGCAUCCUUUUGUCACCUGAGCUCCCUAACACCCUCUCCCCUUUUCCCUUGAGAUCUGACACCAACACAUAGUUACUGAACUGAAUUAAAAGCCGUCUGAUCCUCAGCACGCAGUUAGAUGGCUUGGCUAAGUGUGUAUUAUCUGCACACAGUAUGAGGCAUGCUGUACUCCAGGAGUCUGGCUAUGUUGUAAUUAUCCCCUUUUGAUGAUCCAAUCAGAAACUCUUAGUUUAAGAGGCUGCUGGGGGACUGGGCACAGUGGCACGCACCUGUAAUCUCAACACUUUGGGAGGCCGAGGCGGGCAGUUCACCUGAGGUCAGGAGUUUGAGACCAGCCUGGCCAACAUGGGGCUCUACUAAAAAUACAAAAAUUAGCUGGGCGUGGUGGCACGCACCUGUAAUCCCAGCUACUCAGGAGGCUGAGGCAGGAGAAUCACUUGAACCCAGGAGGCGGAGGUUGCAGUGAGCUGAGGUCACGCCAUUGCACUCCAGCCUGGGCAACAAGAGCGAAACUCCAUCUCAACAAAAAAUAAGCUGCUGGUAACAUUCUUUAGCCUGUGACUUCUUGAUGGAAGAAAGUGACAGAGGAAAGGCAUUUCAACAAUUUCUGUUCCUCAGCUCUAGGCAAUAGAGGCCAGUGGAGGCCUGGAGAGCUGAGGUCAUGCUGACACCCCCAAAGGAAAGAGCCGGUAGUCUGUUGGGGUCUUCCUCCUAUAAAUCAAAAGCUUUGUAACACUGCUGGAAAACUGAAUGCUCUGUGUUUCAUUUUCCAAGCAGGCAGCCACUUGGGUAGGUAACAGAGGCUGCUUUUUUGGAGAACGGGCAAGCCCUGCUGUCAGCAGGAAGUCGGCGGGACACCUGCUCCAACAACCAGCCCCUGUGACCCAGCAGUUCCUCCUGUCCUGGUCAGGCCUGACCACCCACCACACAACCUCAUGGUGAAUCUGGUAGUUCUCUUCACAGCCAUCAUCACCAUGGUAACACAGUCAUGAGGCAUGAGACUGUUUCUCCACUGCUGGAUGGGAAGACAACCACCAUGUCCUGAGGCCACUCAGGCAGCCUACGAAGAGGCCACAUAGAGAAGAACAGAGGGCUGCAGUCUACAGCUAGCAAGGAACCACAGCCUGCCAACAACCAUAAGAGCCUGCGUGGGAGGGGACCUUCCAGCCCCCAUUGACAGCCUGAGUGCAACUCCAUGAGAGACGCUGAGGAGAAUCAAGUAGCUAAGCCCUUCCUCAAUUCCUGACUCUCACAAACUGUGCAAGAUAAUAAAGAUUCACUCUUUUCAGCUGCAAAACCUGGGGGCAAUUUGUUACGCAGCAAUUGAUAACUAAUACAUUUUCCCACCCAAAGGGCAAGCUCCUGAGCAUGGCACCGGAGGUGUUUCAUGCCCAUCUUUCCAGCUUCAGUUAACCCUACUCCCAGAUGCACUCUCCCUGAGAUCACGCUCUGCUUACCCCAGCCCAACCUUCACACCUCUGUGCCUCUGCCCAUGCUGUUCCUUGUGCCUGGAAUGCCCUUUCCCCAUGGAUGGGAUUCCCUUCUCCAGAAAUCCUUCCCUAAACUGCCCUUGUAUCUAAUCCCAUUGGGUGAGGUACCCUCCUUCCUGCUCACACACACUUCUUGAAAUCAAUACGCAAAAAGCGAGUUGCAUGGAAGAGGAAAAAUGUUUGCAUGAAGGAAACAUCAAGAGCACAUGACUUGCCUCUAUCUGGUUGAUCAACGAAUUGUCAAAUUUGAACCCAGG
rnacentral:lncRNA from 10 species